GCAAACUCUCUCACUUUCUCUUUCUCUGCUUCUAAAGUCAUGCAUCUUCAUCUUCUUCCAGGUUAUAUUCCUACUAAUUCAUUUUGUAUUAUGGUAUGGUGAUUACAAUAACUUCAUUUGAUUUAACUAUUUUGAUUUCGGUUCAUCGACACUCUUCAUAUCCCUUCCAUUUCGUGUAUAUUCACGGUAUCUUGAAGGUGAUUACAGUAUUGUGUUUAAUUUUACUUUAUUGAACUAUUGAUUGGCUAAAGUUUUGGUUUUUCUUGAAGUUAAUCUGUAACAAUAUUGUUUUUCUUGAAGAUGUCGUUUGAUAAAUAUAGUUUUUAUAUUUUGUUGAAGAUAAUUUUGUUACAGUAUUGUUCAUAUCUUCAAAGAGAGAAACUGGAAACGAAUGGGAAACCUUCAAAGAAAACCAAAAGGCUAUCGUUUGGUUCUUUGGAAGAGUUAUCAAGGGCUCGAUGUUCUGUUCUUGAUCCUCCUUGGGAAGGACAAAACUUGAUUCCUGGUGAUGUUUUAUUGGCAAUGCUGUUAUGGCUUCAAUACAAAGGUUGGGCCUUAAAGGGAAGUUCGAUGAGUUGGAGUAAGUGCAUGAGAUAGAGAAACAAAGACUGAUAUGUGAUUAGUAGACACAAUCCUUAUAUGGUGGCAAUAUAUGAUUCAGAUUUUUAUAAGUGCAUGAGAUAGAAAAAUGAGUUCGGAUAAGGCUUGCAUUGGAUCAAGCAAUUAUAGUGUUGACGCAUAUACGAAAAGCUUCUUCAAGAGCCUGGCUCAUAUGUUGGUGAAGUUUUCAAAAUUAUCGGCAAGAACAAAGUGUUGGUCAAGAAUAUGCAAAAGCAGCAAAACUUGCAAAUCCGACAAUGGUGAUGAUGGGAAUGUGAUUUUGUGUUUUCUGGAUCUGCGAUGAUGGCUCGCCGGAGCUGUUUUGACGGUGGUGAAGUGGUGUUGCAGCUGUUGAGUUUCACUUCUCAUUUAAAAGUUAUGAGUUUUUUAUAUUUGGAUUAUAGUGUGUUGAGUUUAAUAAUAUAGUGCUAUGAAGUUGAAGAUACUGUCAAAUUUGUUGCAGAAAAAUAGUUAAUAACCUUAUAGAAUAUUGUCAUGUAGAUAACCAUAUGAACAUGUAUGCUAAUUGACU